rnacentral:rRNA from 1 species
GAUGAACGCUGGCGGCGUGCCUAAUACAUGCAAGUCGAGCGAACAGGCGAGGAGCUUGCUCCUCUGACGUUAGCGGCGGACGGGUGAGUAACACGUGGAUAACCUACCUAUAAGACUGGGAUAACUUCGGGAAACCGGAGCUAAUACCGGAUAAUAUAUUGAACCGCAUGGUUCAAUAGUGAAAGACGGUUUUGCUGUCACUUAUAGAUGGAUCCGCGCCGCAUUAGCUAGUUGGUAAGGUAACGGCUUACCAAGGCGACGAUGCGUAGCCGACCUGAGAGGGUGAUCGGCCACACUGGAACUGAGACACGGUCCAGACUCCUACGGGAGGCAGCAGUAGGGAAUCUUCCGCAAUGGGCGAAAGCCUGACGGGGCAACGCCGCGUGAGUGAUGAAGGUCUUCGGAUCGUAAAACUCUGUUAUUAGGGAAGAACAAAUGUGUAAGUAACUAUGCACGUCUUGACGGUACCUAAUCAGAAAGCCACGGCUAACUACGUG